rnacentral:SRP_RNA from 1 species
GGAGGCUGGCGGCGGACGGGCCCCUCGCCAACCCGGUCAGAUCCGGAAGGAAGCAGCCGUAACGAGUUUAGGCCCGGGUCGUUUGUUCAGUCUCCCAC